rnacentral:lncRNA from 1 species
UAUAUACUUCCAUUUUAUUGAACAUGAUUCACUGUCUUAUGAAUCACUGAUAUACUACAUAGUUACAUUCCACUCUCGUGGAAACUGAAAUACAAACUAAAAGGGACAUAUUUUUCCCAUUAUUUAGUACUCGUUUAGCCUGAUAUUGGCUGUCUAAAGCACAAACACCAAUCAUGGAAUUAAUAUUUAGCAUAAGGCCAAUCACAAUAUAGUGAACUUCCAUCCUCAAAGUAAAGAGUGCAGCCGUCGGAGACGCAACAAUUGGUGCAGUCUGUGUAGGUCUUCGUUCCAUUACAGAUCUUGUACACGGUGCCCCCUAUGCAAUUUCGUGGGCAGGGCCUGAGAAGCCCAUGCCUGACAGCCUUGACUUCAAUAUUUGCCCCCAGAAGAAUCAUUC